UUUUAGCCCUGAUGAAAGCGGAAAGCCUUUUGAAGUAGAAAUGCAUUUUUUCCUGAGAAAAAACAGCGACCAAUGGAAGCUCGUUUUUUGUCUUGGAAAAAAGCAAUUCUAUGAAAAAGCUUGAAGCGGUCAGCAGGAAUAGCU
rnacentral:sRNA from 1 species